AGUUCAGGCUGGUAUUGAGCUGGUUUGGUAGUAAGCAGGAUUGAGGAGUAGCCCAGGCUGGUAUUGAGCAGGGUUGGUAGUAAGCAGGAUUGAGGAGUAGUUCAGGCUGGUAUUGAGCAGGGUUGGUAGUAAGCAGGAUUGAGGAGUAGUUCAGGCUGGUAUUGAGCAGGGUUGGUAGUAAGCAGGAUUGAGGAGUAGUUCAGGCUGGCAUUGAGCAGGGUUGGUAGUAAGCAG